rnacentral:rRNA from 1 species
GACGAACGCUGGCGGCGUGCCUAAUACAUGCAAGUCGAACGCUUCUUUCCUCCCGAGUGCUUGCACUCAAUUGGAAAGAGGAGUGGCGGACGGGUGAGUAACACGUGGGUAACCUACCCAUCAGAGGGGGAUAACACUUGGAAACAGGUGCUAAUACCGCAUAACAGUUUAUGCCGCAUGGCAUAAGAGUGAAAGGCGCUUUCGGGUGUCGUUGAUGGAUGGACCCGCGGUGCAUUAGCUAGUUGGUGAGGUAAGGGCUCACCAAGGCCACGAUGCAUAGCCGACCUGAGAGGGUGAUCGGCCACACUGGGACUGGGACACGGCCCAGACUCCUACGGGAGGCAGCAGUAGGGAAUCUUCGGCAAUGGACGAAAGUCUGACCGAGCAACGCCGCGUGAGUGAAGAAGGUGUUCGGAUCGUAAAACUCUGUUGUUAGAGAAGAACAAGGACGUUAGUAACUGAACGUCCCCUGACGGUAUCUAACCAGAAAGCCACGGCUAACUACGUG